rnacentral:rRNA from 1 species
GAUGAACGCUGGCGGCGUGCCUAAUACAUGCAAGUCGAACGAAACUUCUUUAUCACCGAGUGCUUGCACUCACCGAUAAAGAGUUGAGUGGCGAACGGGUGAGUAACACGUGGGCAACCUGCCCAAAAGAGGGGGAUAACACUUGGAAACAGGUGCUAAUACCGCAUAACCAUAGUUACCGCAUGGUAACUAUGUAAAAGGUGGCUAUACUACCGCUUUUGGAUGGGCCCGCGGCGCAUUAGCUAGUUGGUAGGGUAAAGGCUUACCAAGGCAAUGAUGCGUAGCCGAAUUGAGAGGUUGAUCGGCCACAUUGGGACUGAGACACGGCCCAAACUCCUACGGGAGGCAGCAGUAGGGAAUCUUACACAAUGGGCGAAAGCCUGAUGGAGCAACGCCGCGUGGGUGAAGAAGGUCUUCGGAUCGUAAAACCCUGUUGUUAGAGAAGAAAGUGCGUGAGAGUAACUGUUCACGUUUCGACGGUAUCUAACCAGAAAGCCACUGCUAACUACGUG